rnacentral:rRNA from 1 species
GUGACUGCGUACCUUUUGUAUAAUGGGUCAGCGACUUAUAUUCUGUAGCAAGGUUAACCGAAUAGGGGAGCCGAAGGGAAACCGAGUCUUAACUGGGCGUUAAGUUGCAGGGUAUAGACCCGAAACCCGGUGAUCUAGCCAUGGGCAGGUUGAAGGUUGGGUAACACUAACUGGAGGACCGAACCGACUAAUGUUGAAAAAUUAGCGGAUGACUUGUGGCUGGGGGUGAAAGGCCAAUCAAACCGGGAGAUAGCUGGUUCUCCCCGAAAGCUAUUUAGGUAGCGCCUCGUGAAUUCAUCUCCGGGGGUAGAGCACUGUUUCGGCAAGGGGGUCAUCCCGACUUACCAACCCGAUGCAAACUGCGAAUACCGGAGAAUGUUAUCACGGGAGACACACGGCGGGUGCUAACGUCCGUCGUGAAGAGGGAAACAACCCAGACCGCCAGCUAAGGUCCCAAAGUCAUGGUUAAGUGGGAAACGAUGUGGGAAGGCCCAGACAGCCAGGAUGUUGGCUUAGAAGCAGCCAUCAUUUAAAGAAAGCGUAAUAGCUCACUGGUCGAGUCGGCCUGCGCGGAAGAUGUAACGGGGCUAAACCAUGCACCGAAGCUGCGGCAGCGACGCUUAUGCGUUGUUGGGUAGGGGAGCGUUCUGUAAGCCUGUGAAGGUGUGCUGUGAGGCAUGCUGGAGGUAUCAGAAGUGCGAAUGCUGACAUAAGUAACGAUAAAGCGGGUGAAAAGCCCGCUCGCCGGAAGACCAAGGGUUCCUGUCCAACGUUAAUCGGGGCAGGGUGAGUCGACCCCUAAGGCGAGGCCGAAAGGCGUAGUCGAUGGGAAACAGGUUAAUAUUCCUGUACUUGGUGUUACUGCGAAGGGGGGACGGAGAAGGCUAUGUUGGCCGGGCGACGGUUGUCCCGGUUUAAGCGUGUAGGCUGGUUUUCCAGGCAAAUCCGGAAAAUCAAGGCUGAGGCGUGAUGACGAGGCACUACGGUGCUGAAGCAACAAAUGCCCUGCUUCCAGGAAAAGCCUCUAAGCAUCAGGUAACAUCAAAUCGUACCCCAAACCGACACAGGUGGUCAGGUAGAGAAUACCAAGGCGCUUGAGAGAACUCGGGUGAAGGAACUAGGCAAAAUGGUGCCGUAACUUCGGGAGAAGGCACGCUGAUAUGUAGGUGAAGUCCCUCGCGGAUGGAGCUGAAAUCAGUCGAAGAUACCAGCUGGCUGCAACUGUUUAUUAAAAACACAGCACUGUGCAAACACGAAAGUGGACGUAUACGGUGUGACGCCUGCCCGGUGCCGGAAGGUUAAUUGAUGGGGUCAGCGCAAGCGAAGCUCUUGAUCGAAGCCCCGGUAAACGGCGGCCGUAACUAUAACGGUCCUAAGGUAGCGAAAUUCCUUGUCGGGUAAGUUCCGACCUGCACGAAUGGCGUAAUGAUGGCCAGGCUGUCUCCACCCGAGACUCAGUGAAAUUGAACUCGCUGUGAAGAUGCAGUGUACCCGCGGCAAGACGGAAAGACCCCGUGAACCUUUACUAUAGCUUGACACUGAACAUUGAGCCUUGAUGUGUAGGAUAGGUGGGAGGCUUUGAAGUGUGGACGCCAGUCUGCAUGGAGCCGACCUUGAAAUACCACCCUUUAAUGUUUGAUGUUCUAACGUUGACCCGUAAUCCGGGUUGCGGACAGUGUCUGGUGGGUAGUUUGACUGGGGCGGUCUCCUCCUAAAGAGUAACGGAGGAGCACGAAGGUUGGCUAAUCCUGGUCGGACAUCAGGAGGUUAGUGCAAUGGCAUAAGCCAGCUUGACUGCGAGCGUGACGGCGCGAGCAGGUGCGAAAGCAGGUCAUAGUGAUCCGGUGGUUCUGAAUGGAAGGGCCAUCGCUCAACGGAUAAAAGGUACUCCGGGGAUAACAGGCUGAUACCGCCCAAGAGUUCAUAUCGACGGCGGUGUUUGGCACCUCGAUGUCGGCUCAUCACAUCCUGGGGCUGAAGUAGGUCCCAAGGGUAUGGCUGUUCGCCAUUUAAAGUGGUACGCGAGCUGGGUUUAGAACGUCGUGAGACAGUUCGGUCCCUAUCUGCCGUGGGCGCUGGAGAACUGAGGGGGGCUGCUCCUAGUACGAGAGGACCGGAGUGGACGCAUCACUGGUGUUCGGGUUGUCAUGCCAAUGGCACUGCCCGGUAGCUAAAUGCGGAAGAGAUAAGUGCUGAAAGCAUCUAAGCACGAAACUUGCCCCGAGAUGAGUUCUCCCUGACUCCUUGAGAGUCCUGAAGGAACGUUGAAGACGACGACGUUGAUAGGCCGGGUGUGUAAGCGCAGCGAUGCGUUGAGCUAACCGGUACUAAUGAACCGUGAGGCUUAACCUU